CUGGAGGACAGGUGGCUGCAUGGCUGUCGUCAGCUCGUGUCGUGAGAUGUUGGGUUAAGUACCCGCAACGAGCGCAACCCUUGCCUUUAGUUGCCAGCAGUUCGGCUGGGCACUCUAAAGGGACUGCCGGUGUUAAACCGGAGGAAGGUGGGGAUGACGUCAAGUCCUCAUGGCCUUUAUGACCAGGGCUACACACGUACUACAAUGGCCGAUACAAAGGGCAGCGACACUGCGAGGUGAAGCCAAUCCCGUAAAAUCGGUCUCAGUCCGGAUUGGAGUCUGCAACUCGACUCCAUGAAGUUGGAAUCGCUAGUAAUCGUGGAUCAGCAUGCCACGGUGAAUACGUUCCCGGGCCUU
rnacentral:rRNA from 1 species